rnacentral:rRNA from 1 species
GAUGAACGCUGGCGGCGUGCCUAAUACAUGCAAGUCGAGCGAAAAGACGAUGAGCUUGCUCCUCUGACGUUAGCGGCGGGCGGGUGAGUAACACGUGGAUCACCUACUUAUAAUACUGGGAUAACUACGGAAAACCGGAUCUAAUACCAGAGAAUAUAUUGAACCGCAGGGUGCAAUGGAGAAUGACGGCUUUGGUGUCACUUAUAGAUGGAUCCGCGCCGGAUUAGCUGGUUGGUAAGGUAACGGCCUACCAAGGCAACGAUGCGUAGCCGACCUGAGAGGGUGAUCGGCCACACUGGAACUGAGACACGGUCCAGACUCCUACGGGAGGCAGCAGUAGGGAAUCUUAGGCAAUGGGCGAAAGCCUGACGCAGCAACGCCGCGUGAGUGAUGAAGGCCUUCGGAUCGUAAAGCUCUGUUAUUGGGGAAGAACAAAUGUGGAAGUAACUAUGGCCGUCUUGACGGUACCUAAUCAGAAAGCAACGGCUAACUACGUG